rnacentral:rRNA from 1 species
AAUAUUCGACAAUGGGCGAAAGCCUGCUCCAGCCAUGCCGCGUGUGUGAAGAAGGUCUUCGUAUUGUAAAGCACUUUAAGUUGGGAUGAAGGGCAGUAAGCUAAUACCUUGCUUUUUUGACGUUACCGACUGAAUAAGCACCGGCUAACUUCGUGCCAGCAGCCGCGGUAAUACGAAGGGUGCAAGAGUUAAUCGGAAUUACUGGGCGUAAAGCGCGCGUAGGUGGUUCGUUAAGUUGGAAGUGAAAGCCCCGGGCUUAACCUGGGAAUUGCUUUCAAAACUGACGAGCUAGAGUACGGUAGAGGGUAGUGGAAUUUCCUGUGUAGCGGUGAAAUGCGUAGAGAUAGGAAGGAACACCAGUGGCGAAGGCGACUACCUGGACUGAUACUGACACUGAGGUGCGAAAGCGUGGGGAGCAAACAGG